rnacentral:lncRNA from 10 species
GCCUCCUGAGUAGCUGGGACUACAGGUGUGCACCACAAUGCCCAGCUAUUUUUAUUUUUAUGUACAUGAAAAUUGGAACAGAAUUAAAAAAAAAUUUUUUUUGUAGAGAUGGGAUAUUGCUCUGUUGCCCAGGCUGGUCUCGAACUGCUGGGCUCAAGUGAUCCUGCCACCUCAGCCUCCCAAAUUGCUGGGAUUGCAGGUGUGAGCCACUGUGUUUGGCUGAGUAGGCUAUUUGAUGCUCUGGAACCAGAUAAGGUCACCAAGGAUCAGUGUGUGCCAGGGGUGGUCACCCACUUUGCUCACCCGGGCCUCGUUCCUGGGGGCUGUGUGUGUAGAAAACAGAGAGGGAAACAAACAAAACAAAAUGUAGAACAAGAUGAGCUGGCCUUUGUGGCGUGGAGACAUUUAAGCUGACAUCCAAAUGACAAGAAGUCAGCCAUUCCGAUGCGGGAGGGAGUGUUCCAGGCAGAGGGAACACCAAGUCUGGGUCAAAAGUGAGCUGGAGGCCGGGUGCAGUGGCUCAUGCCUGUAAUCCCAGCACUUUGGGAGGCUGAGGCGGGUGGAUCACUUGAGGUCGGGAGUUCGAGACCAGCCUGACCAACAUGGUGAAACCCCGUCUCUACUAAAAAUACAAAAAUUAGCUGGGCGUGGUGGCAGGUGCCUGUUAUCUCAGCUACUCAGGAGGCUGAAGCAGGAGAAUCGCUUGAACCCGGGAGGCGGAUGUUGCAGUGAGCCGAAAUCACGGCACCGCAUUCCAGCCUGGAUGACAAGAGAGAAACGCCGUCUCAAAAAAAAAAAAAAAAAGAAAGAAAAAAGGUGAGCUGGGCUGGAACAAGGGGAAGCUACCUUUUUCCCUCAUCUUCACUGUCCAGCAGAAGCCAUGUAUUCAGGCGGUUCCCAUGUCAGCAUGGAAGCCAGUUCCUGCAAUGUCCCCAACAGAGAUGUGCUUUUCUUCACUGCCUGCUUACCUGUUCUCUUUCUCUAGACAAAGACAAGCUCCUACGGCUGCUCCUCCUGGCCCUCACCUUUCUCGCAUGAAAGCUGCAGAGUCAGCAUGGCAGAUAUUGGCCAACUCCACUCCUUAGGGCCUGCCCACUUGGCAGCCUCAUGGGCAGGAUGAGGGCCGGCUCCCCCAGCCUUGCCCACACAGUGCCCUCACUCGCCGCCAGGAGACGCGUGCCAAGCUGAG